AACGAACGCUGGCGGCAGGCUUAACACAUGCAAGUCGAACGCAUCCUUCGGGGUGAGUGGCAGACGGGUGAGUAACGCGUGGGAACGUGCCCUUCAGUUCGGGAUAACCCAGGGAAACUUGGGCUAAUACCGGAUACGUGCGAGAGCAGAAAGAUUUAUCGCUGAAGGAUCGGCCCGCGUCUGAUUAGCUAGUUGGGGGGGUAAUGGCCCAACAAGGCGACGAUCAGUAGCUGGUCUGAGAGGAUGAUCAGCCACAUUGGGACUGAGAACCGGCCCAAACUCCUACAGGAGGCAGCAGUAGGGAAUAUUGGACAAUGGGCGCAAGCCUGAUCCAGCCAGGCCGCGUGAGUGAUGAAGGCCGUAGGGUUGUAAAGCUCUUUCGUCCGGGACGAUAAUGACGGUACCGGAAGAAGAAGCCCCGGCUAACUUCGUGCCAGCCGCCGCGGUAA
rnacentral:rRNA from 1 species